rnacentral:rRNA from 1 species
UACAGAGGUCUCAAGCGUUGUUCGGAUUCAUUGGGCGUAAAGGGUGCGUAGGCGGCGCGGUAAGUCGGGUGUGAAAUCUCGGAGCUUAACUCCGAAACUGCAUUCGAUACUGCCGUGCUUGAGGACUGGAGAGGAGACUGGAAUUUACGGUGUAGCGGUGAAAUGCGUAGAUAUCGUAAGGAAGACCAGUGGCGAAGGCGGGUCUCUGGACAGUUCCUGACGCUGAAGCACGAAAGCCAGGGGAGCGAACGGG